rnacentral:rRNA from 1 species
AUGAACGCUAGCUACAGGCUUAACACAUGCAAGUCGAGGGGCAGCAUCAUCAAAGCUUGCUUUGAUGGAUGGCGACCGGCGCACGGGUGAGUAACACGUAUCCAACCUGCCGACAACACUGGGAUAGCCUUUCGAAAGAAAGAUUAAUACCGGAUGGCAUAAUUAUUCCGCAUGGGAUAAUUAUUAAAGAAUUUCGGUUGUCGAUGGGGAUGCGUUCCAUUAGGCAGUUGGCGGGGUAACGGCCCACCAAACCUACGAUGGAUAGGGGUUCUGAGAGGAAGGUCCCCCACAUUGGAACUGAGACACGGUCCAAACUCCUACGGGAGGCAGCAGUGAGGAAUAUUGGUCAAUGGACGAGAGUCUGAACCAGCCAAGUAGCGUGAAGGAUGACUGCCCUAUGGGUUGUAAACUUCUUUUAUACGGGAAUAAAGUGAGCCACGUGUGGCUUUUUGUAUGUACCGUAUGAAUAAGGAUCGGCUAACUCCGUGCCAGCAGCCGCGGUAAUACGGAGGAUUCGAGCGUUAUCCGGAUUUAUUGGGUUUAAAGGGAGCGUAGGCGGGUUGUUAAGUCAGUUGUGAAAGUUUGCGGCUCAACCGUAAAAUUGCAGUUGAUACUGGCGACCUUGAGUGCAACAGAGGUAGGCGGAAUUCGUGGUGUAGCGGUGAAAUGCUUAGAUAUCACGAAGAACUCCGAUUGCGAAGGCAGCUUACUGGAUUGUAACUGACGCUGAUGCUCGAAAGUGUGGGUAUCAAACAGGAUUAGAUACCCUGGUAGUCCACACAGUAAACGAUGAAUACUCGCUGUUGGCGAUAUACAGUCAGCGGCCAAGCGAAAGCAUUAAGUAUUCCACCUGGGGAGUACGCCGGCAACGGUAAAACUCAAAGGAAUUGACGGGGGCCCGCACAAGCGGAGGAACAUGUGGUUUAAUUCGAUGAUACGCGAGGAACCUUACCCGGGCUUAAAUUGCAACUGACGGAACCGGAAACGGUUCUUUCUUCGGACAGUUGUGAAGGUGCUGCAUGGUUGUCGUCAGCUCGUGCCGUGAGGUGUCGGCUUAAGUGCCAUAACGAGCGCAACCCUUACGGGUAGUUACCAUCAGGUUAUGCUGGGGACUCUACCCGGACUGCCGUCGUAAGAUGUGAGGAAGGUGGGGAUGACGUCAAAUCAGCACGGCCCUUACGUCCGGGGCUACACACGUGUUACAAUGGGGGGUACAGAAGGCAGCUACACGGCGACGUGGUGCUAAUCCCAAAAGCCUCUCUCAGUUCGGAUUGGAGUCUGCAACCCGACUCCAUGAAGCUGGAUUCGCUAGUAAUCGCGCAUCAGCCACGGCGCGGUGAAUACGUUCCCGGGCCUUGUACACACCGCCCGUCAAGCCAUGAAAGCCGGGGGUACCUGAAGUACGUAACCGCGAGGAGCGUCCUAGGGUAAAACUGGUGAUUGGGGCU